CAACUUUUGACGGUGGAUCUCUUGGCUCACGCAUCGAUGAAGAACGCAGCCAGCUGCGAUAAGUAGUGUGAAUUGCAGAAUUCAGUGAAUCAUCGAAUCUUUGAACUCAAAUGGCGCUCUUGGGUUCUCCCAGGAGCAUGUCUGUCUGAGUGUCGGAU
rnacentral:rRNA from 1 species